AAUGAGCGAUUCGUUUUCGUUGUAAACAUUGUUUAAUCGUGGUUGGUAAAUUCUGAGGUCUGAAGAUACACUAAUCUGGCUCAAUGUCCAUAAUUGACGACUGAGGAGUAUUGAGAUUACCUUUGGAAGUAGUGCAGGCAGAAGGUCCAGAGCAUCAGGUGUUUCCCAGUGCCGUGGUUUCCAUCGGUGGUCAUCAUCAAAAGCAAGGGCACCAGUAAAGCUGGAAUCUCCUGGAGGAACCACGCUAGCCUUGCGGGCACCAUCAUGGAGCUGCCCGAGGUGUCCACGUAGCGGCCAUAGGCAGCGUGAGACUUCAUGAGACAAAUAAAGUGCAUUACCCCACCCAGGAUCAUCCCUAAACUCAGGCCCCGCACGAGGAGCUCCUGACACUGCAUUGGAGGUCGAGUAUCCGUCCGUUUUCAAACCAGGUAUGAGCCUAAUGCUGUAUCUCCCCUCUUAACCCCUCAGCAGAUUUGCGCAAACACAGCGUCUAAAAGCAGCUCCUCCCCAAAAAAAAGCAAGGCGAGAGUGGAGUCCUGACCGUGCUACAGCUUGCUGAAAUGAUGGAGGUUGUUACCUGCUGAAGGCACGAUCAUAUAUAUUUAUGCUCCAAAAGAUUCAACAGAGCUAAAAAAACUUAAAGCGUGCAAAUGGACACACACCCCAAUGGCAGAAGUCAGAGGAAAUGAUGAAGAGAUUGGAGGGGUCAGCCAGGUCGUACAGUGGCGUUCUGUAGACCUCGGCGGGGGAGAGGGCACAGCGAGACAGCGGCACGUGGUGAGAGGGGCCGAGAAUGAACACCCUCCG
rnacentral:lncRNA from 1 species